rnacentral:lncRNA from 1 species
CGAUUUCGCUGCAUUCUUACGGCUACGCGCCAAAUAUUCAUGCGGCGGAACCAUCUCCGAUUCAUCAUCGUCGUCGAAACUAUCGUCGUGUAACGACUCAACCGAGUCAACUCGGAGUAUCUUACUCCAAUCCGGCACGUUCACCGGCAACGAUGUCGCCAUGUGCCGUCCACGUGCCGAAGGCGAAGACGCAACGCCGUCGUGUGCACGAAACUGAUGCACAAUCCUCGCCGUCGCCACCGUGGAGGAAUUCACUGGAUCUUCGAACGCAAGUGAUAAACCACCUAAUUGACGGUGUUCAUCGCUGUUUUGAGUAAUCCGAUGCCGGUUCCGAUACGAUGAGCCAGAACCACCGCCGAUUAUCUCAACGGUUUCAGCGUUUGGUGAUUCCCACUCAUCGGAGAAAUUCAAGUCAACUUCACCGGAACCAACAUCUGUGGACCAGAUAUCCUCUUCCCGGAGCUCCGAUGGAUCGGCUGCGGCGGCGGAACUUUGGUUGUGAGAGUAACCGUAUGUUCCUAAGAAACGUUCACUCCGGCUGGUUGUUAAUUUCCGACCUUUCGCCAUAUACGGCGGCCGAAGUAGGUUGUGCCGCCG